GACGAACGCUGGCGGCGUGCUUAACACAUGCAAGUCGAACGGAAAGGCCCUGCUUUUGUGGGGUGCUCGAGUGGCGAACGGGUGAGUAACACGUGAGUAACCUGCCCUUGACUUUGGGAUAACUUCAGGAAACUGGGGCUAAUACCGGAUAGGAGCUCCUGCUGCAUGGUGGGGGUUGGAAAGUUUCGGCGGUUGGGGAUGGACUCGCGGCUUAUCAGCUUGUUGGUGGGGUAGUGGCUUACCAAGGCUUUGACGGGUAGCCGGCCUGAGAGGGUGACCGGCCACAUUGGGACUGAGAUACGGCCCAGACUCCUACGGGAGGCAGCAGUGGGGAAUAUUGCACAAUGGGCGGAAGCCUGAUGCAGCAACGCCGCGUGCGGGAUGACGGCCUUCGGGUUGUAAACCGCUUUCGCCUGUGACGAAGCGUGUGUGACGGUAAUGGGUAAAGAAGCACCGGCUAACUACGUGCCAGCAGCCGCGGUGAUACGUAGGGUGCGAGCGUUGUCCGGAUUUAUUGGGCGUAAAGGGCUCGUAGGUGGUUGAUCGCGUCGGAAGUGUAAUCUUGGGGCUUAACCCUGAGCGUGCUUUCGAUACGGGUUGACUUGAGGAAGGUAGGGGAGAAUGGAAUUCCUGGUGGAGCGGUGGAAUGCGCAGAUAUCAGGAGGAACACCAGUGGCGAAGGCGGUUCUCUGGGCCUUUCCUGACGCUGAGGAGCGAAAGCGUGGGGAGCGAACAGGCUUAGAUACCCUGGUAGUCCACGCUGUAAACGGUGGGUACUAGGUGUGGGGUCCACUCCACGGGUUCCGUGCCGUAGCUAACGCUUUAAGUACCCCGCCUGGGGAGUACGGCCGCAAGGCUAAAACUCAAAGGAAUUGACGGGGCCCCGCACAAGCGGCGGAGCAUGCGGAUUAAUUCGAUGCAACGCGUAGAACCUUACCUGGGUUUGACAUGGAUCGGGAGUGCUCAGAGAUGGGUGUGCCUCUUUUGGGGUCGGUUCACAGGUGGUGCAUGGCUGUCGUCAGCUCGUGUCGUGAGAUGUUGGGUUAAGUCCCGCAACGAGCGCAACCCUUGUUCACUGUUGCCAGCACGUUAUGGUGGGGACUCAGUGGAGACCGCCGGGGUCAACUCGGAGGAAGGUGGGGAUGACGUCAAGUCAUCAUGCCCCUUAUGUCCAGGGCUUCACGCAUGCUACAAUGGCUGGUACAGAGAGUGGCGAGCCUGUGAGGGUGAGCGAAUCUCGGAAAGCCGGUCUCAGUUCGGAUUGGGGUCUGCAACUCGACCUCAUGAAGUCGGAGUCGCUAGUAAUCGCAGAUCAGCAACGCUGCGGUGAAUACGUUCCCGGGGCU
rnacentral:rRNA from 1 species